CUGGAGCCCCCAGCCACAAUCAGCCUCCCGCCACCCACUGCUGCCGCCGGAGUCUUCUCCCUCAAGGCCCGGACUGGCCUGCCACCUGGGAUCAAUGUGGCCAGCUUGGAGUGGGUGUCCAGGGAACCAGCACUGCUCUGCACCUUCCCAAGCCCCACUGCACCCAGGAAAGACAGCACCCUUUCAGUCUUGCCCCAGGGCUCCUACCCACUGCUGGCAAAUGGCAUCUGCAAGUGGCCUGGAUGUGAGAAGGUCUUCAAGGAACCAGAGGACUUCCUCAAGUGAGUGACCCAGGCCCACCCCAGUCCAGAGUAUCAUGGUUUGCAGGGAGGUCUGGGAUACAGGUCUCAGCUCAAGCCGCAUCUUGAUAGAUAGUAAGACAAAAGAGGCAAAAGCUGAGGCUGUGGGUUCAAAUCCCAGCUACAUCAUUCACUAGCUAUGUGACCCUGGACAAGUUACUUAGCUUUUCUGGGCCUCAGUUUCCUCAUGUGUAAUAAAGGUGUGUUUAUCCUCCAAUGUUACCUCCAUUUUACAGAAACUGAGGCUGAAGAGGUUAAGACUACUCAGUUCCUAGAAAAGGGAUUGCAACAUCACAAGACCCUGGCCAAGGGUGCCUCCCUCUCUCAUGUGCACACGUGCACUAUCAUAAAAAAAAAAAAAAAUCACCCAGUUCCUAAGUGACAGAGCUGGGUCUGAACCCAGGCAGCCAGGCUCCAGAAUCUGCAUUCCUGUUUUGCCCUGCUACCCCUCAUACCAACACACCAGCCUUUUAUUGAUUCCCCAGGCCCAGCUCCUCUAGGUGGCUGCUGCUGCCUCCCCUUAGCCUUCUCUCUCUCACGCCCUUUCUCCGACCACACCCACCUAUUAACAGCAAUUUGGUGUGCCCUGUUUUCUUCACUGUCAGGCCUUUGCACAAGCUGUCCCCUCCACCCAGAAUGCCUUUCCCACUCUCACCUUCCUGGCCCACUCUUAGCUCACUACCCUUCCAACAUCAGCUCUGACAUGCUGGCUAAGCUUAGGCCUGGCACACAGUCAGUGCCAAGUGUCGCAUAUUGAAGGAAUAACAGGUGUGAGAGGGAGGCUGAGGUAGAGAGGGGGAAGGAGCUGAGGCUUUGAGGAAAGAUUUCCUGGAGGGUCAGAGCCCAUCCCCACCCAGAACAUGAAGCCAGGCUAGGCCCGCCAUGGUCACCUGCAUGGAAUCUUC